rnacentral:other from 1 species
UCGGCUCGACGGUGUUCGUGAUGUCCAACGCGGUCUUGAGCCAACAGUUUUUGAGUCGGGAACGCCUAACCUGCCCCUGUGGUACGGAGCGGCGUGCCCACCUGCGAGAGCAGGUUCAAGGCUCCGUUGCACACGGCACAGGUGGAGUCGAC